UACAUAAAAUGCAAACGUUGCUCGGAAUUAUUGGGCGUAAAGCGCGCGUAGGCGGUUACUCAAAUCGGAUGUGAAAGCCCUCGGCUUAACUGAGGAAGUGCACCCGAAACUGAGUAGCUAGAGUACCAAAGAGGGUCGCGGAAUUCCCGGUGUAGAGGUGAAAUUCGUAGAUAUUCGGAAGAACACCAGUGGCGAAGGCGACUCACUGGACACGUAUUGACGCUGAGGUGCGAAAGCGUGGGGAGCAAACAGG
rnacentral:rRNA from 1 species